rnacentral:tRNA from 1 species
UGGCUUAUAGCUCAAUGGAAAAUGCUACGCUCCGACAGCGAUGAUGAAAGUUCAAGCCUUUCUAAGCCGA